CCAGCCAAUAUGUCUAUGCAGCCGUAUUCUGAUGAAGAGCUGAACUACUUCAAGUUUGCGUCGAUUGUCCUAAAGGAAUUCCCAGAUGCUCUGUGCAACAUAUUUGUGAACAUGUGGGACACCAGAGUUGCAACAAGUUCCACAUUUUGGGAUGACUCUUCUCUCGUACGCAAUAUACUUCACAACAAUGAGGCUCCAAACACAAAAAUCCCCACGAACAACUCAUUUAAAGAGUGGGACUGCACUGCACUAUUUCAAGCCACUCUGUAUGCAAGAACAUUUGCGCUACCAGACAGCACAGGAAAGAAAAAGACGCUUGGAGAAAUGUAUUUAAAAGGACGAAAGCCAGCCCCUGCUCCAUUCCACUCUGCAGUGAGAAGCUCGAGCGGAGAUGCAAAUGAAACGAUUGCACUUGCCAUUGAUCAGCUUCGUCUUUUACGAAACACUCUUUGUCAUACAACCAGUCAUUGUAUGAAUAAAGUCACGUUCGAUGACUAUGUCAAGCACGCCAAGGAUGCGUUCACUGCUUUGAAUUUUAGCACGACAUCUCUAGAGAGGAUUGGCAAUUUGAAGGAAUCGGAUUUUCCUACAAACGAAGUACAAAAACUCAAGGAAAACAUCAGUCGUCAGAGAAAUGACCACCAUCUGUUUCUUCAAAGCAAGGUUAUAGAUGAAAUGAGUGGAAUGAAAGAUGGAAUAAGUAGAAUGAAAGAUGAAAUGAAAGAUGGAAUGAAAGAUGAAAUGAGUGGAAUGAAAGAUGGAAUGAGUGGAAUGAAAGAUGAAAUGAGUGGAAUGAAAGACGGAAUGAGUGGAAUGAAAGAUGGAAUAAGUGAAAUAAAAGA
rnacentral:lncRNA from 1 species